CAGUAAAAUGAAAGAAAAAGAGUUGCGGGUUGUGGUCUUCCAGAUAUGUCGAUGGAUUUAUGGGUUUUUCUAGGAAAAAAUUUUACGUAUAAAAACCCGACCAUAACUCCCCCUUUUUAUUUCCCUUUCCGUUCAAUCUUAUUCUAUUUUGUGGUGAUUUAGCAGAGAAGAAUCGACAAGUAACUACGUAAGGACAUGGCUACUCGAGUUGGAUGAAGUGUUUAAUACUCCGUAAAACACUAGCGAUGAUCAUAUAAGCGGCAAUGAUACAAACUUCAGAUCUCUAAUACCGAUAUCAGGUGCGGAUUAGGUUGGGAGGUUUCCCAGGCCCUGCCAGACAUCUGAGUUGUAAUGUGUUUGUAGAAAGAAGGGAUUUUGGUUAUUGAAUACCUACUGAAUCGAAGAUUGUGGGGGUACUCUUGCAGAACCACGGUGUACAUAACGCAUUCUGAACUACCCAUGAUCCUAACAGGCAUAGAUUUUUGGUUUACUAUCGUGUUGUCGAAGGAACUUAUGCAGGCUCGUAGAAUUUGGAAUGAAGUUGUACUCCUGAAGAUAAUCCUAAGAAGUUGAUGUCAGUUUCGGAU